UACAGAGGUCUCGAGCGUUAGGCGGAAUCACUGGGCUUAAAGCGUGUGUAGGCGGAUCGGUAAGUACCUUGUGAAAUCCCACGGCUUAACCGUGGAACUGCUUGGUAUACUGCCAGUCUUGAGCCAUCUAGGGGCUACCGGAACAAAUGGUGGAGCGGUGAAAUGCGUAGAUAUCUGGAGGAACACCGGUGGCGAAGGCGGCAUCCUGGACCAAUUCUGACACUGAGGAGCGAAAGCCAGGGGAGCAAACGGG
rnacentral:rRNA from 1 species